CAAUGCGGAAGCCGCUGUCAAACUUAUCGGUGACUUGCACGCUGGUCGCUUUGUUCACGGGAACUGUAUAGUUCUGCGCCCAAUGAUUCUGCCAGUACAACGGAAUGUAUGGAGGAUUGAUAUGGGGGUCCGUAGCGACAGUGUGCUUGUCUGAGAGCAAGUUUCUUCGCCCGUGAGCAGGCAGACUGUCUCCGUGCCUGCAAAUUGGGAUCCCAUGGGAGUGUAUCACGCUAUCGCGCUUAAAUGGUUUUCCACAGGAUCGCUGCCCUGAUAUGCUUAUUGCGCUGCCUAAUCCUCAUGAUAUACGGCUGAAGGGUUGCAAACUCAGUCACAGGUGGCCUAUCAUGUACAAGGUUGGCCAAUUCCCAGUUGUAUAUCGCAAGAUGGGGUGGACCUUUGCCCCCAGAAUACAGCAUUGUUCUCUCAUGUACAGGGCCUACCUGAAGGCUUGAACAUGAAUAUGGCUAAGAACGGCAACUCCGACGCACAAGGCGCUCAGCAAGAGCGACGACAUCGAAGCCGUACUCCUGUGUCGAGGUAUGGCAGAUGUGUGAGUCUACCUGACCAAACGUUGCUGCUUCUGACAGCAAAUUCGUCGGCCAACACUACGAAUUGGAUAAUCGCCCUUCGCAAAUUCCGUUGUUCUGAA
rnacentral:lncRNA from 1 species